CACGUAGGGCGCAAGCGUUGUCCGGAAUUAUUGGGCGUAAAGAGCUCGUAGGCGGUCUGUUGCGUCCGCUGUGAAAACUCGGGGCUUAACCCCGAGCCUGCAGUGGAUACGGGCAGACUAGAGGUAGGUAGGGGAGAAUGGAAUUCCCGGUGUAGCGGUGAAAUGCGCAGAUAUCAGGAGGAACACCGAUUGCGAAGGCAGCUCGCUGGGACGUGACUGACGCUGAGACGCGAAAGCGUGGGGAGCAAACAGG
rnacentral:rRNA from 1 species